ensembl:lncRNA
CUUCCAGAUGGGUGAAGGUUUAUAAACAUCUCUGCCACAAGAUAAAUUCCCACUGGGUAAUGGAUGGGAUAAGGGAGUGAGUCAGUCACUGGGUCUGACUGGGAGGUUAGACGUGGGCUCUAGCCCCAAAGCUGAGCAGCAAGAAGGGACUUCUGUCCAUCCAGUUGUUCCUUCUUGCUGUCCAAAACAACGUCGCCUGUUGGGACUCAUAGAAACAUAGAAUGGUUUGAGAUGGGAGGGACCCUUAAAGGCCAUCUGGUCCCACUCCCUGCAGCACACAGGGACACCCACAGCUCCAUCAGUGUUCAGAGCCCCAUCCAGCCAGACCUUGAAUGGAGAAUCCACCACUUCUCUGGGCAACCUGUGCCUGUGCCUUGCCACCCUUGUCGUAAAAAAACCUUUCUCCUUAUAUCCAGCCUAAAUUUCCCCUCUUUUGGUUGGAAACCAUUUCGCCUUGUCCUGUCACAACACACCCAGAUGGUCGCUGCCUUGUGCUACGACCUCCUGAGCUGUGCCUGGGAGGUGUCCAUGAAACGGUCCACUGGUCCAGUCCAAAAUGGAGCCAAAAACAUCCUAAAAAUGAAACCCUUUGGGCGGAGAGCUCUCAUGCUUUGGAACGAUUCCAGCACAGAUACAUUCUACGAGUGACUUUACAGAAGAAUCCACAACCCUUUCUGUAUCAACCGAUACCCUCCUUGAAGCUAUUUUGGAAGCACAUCCAAGCCUUCAGGGCUACAUUAUCACGUCCAGCUUUGCAAAUAUGUAAGCUCACAUAAAGCACCAUCACGGGUGUUUCACACUCAAAGUAAGAACCUGUUCAAGAUGUCCGUGCAGUUUCUCAAUGAAUAGCCCAGCACCUUUUUGGAUGAAAUACUCGCCUGGAUCUCCUUGGAGCCAACGCUGCUAGUCAGGCUGUCAGUGUCACACAUGUAUUUAAUUGCUUUGCUGGGCUGAGGCCCUGCAGAAUCAGCGCGAAGAAUGCGAAGGGAACAACGGCACUUCGCGCUUAAUGUGGGGGGAUUUUGAGUGUUAUUAAUUAUUUUUCGUUUUGCUGGUUAGCAUGGAGAGACAGAGGGCUGAAACACAUCCAGGCAGAAAUCAGCCACAGUUAUUAGUGCCUCAAGUCUUUGUCUUGUAGGCUUCAAGCUGGUUAAAACAACAGAAAAGGAAAAAAGAAAAGCAAGACAUUUUUCAGAUGGAGGCCCCCAAGAAAUGCUGGUUUUGAUGGCGCCUCUUGCUGGGGAUCGAGCACACCAGGCCAUCGUCUCUGCGUGCCUCAGGUGGUAGAAAUACACUGGCUGCUCUGAAGUCACCUGGGAGAAAGCAAAGAAGAGGAAUAGCUCGCUAUCUCCCUGUGAUGGAUUACUAACCCAUCCCUGGGAUAUUCCGGAGAGAACAGACAUGCAGCCCAUGCUGAGGAUGAAUUACUGGAUCCAAUUAUAACGGGAGGAAUUAAAAAAAGGAGAACCCCUCCGGAUAAUCAGCACCAGCUGCCCCACACAGGGUACCCUAUCCUCCAGGCAAGCCACAGCUGUGAUUCAUGCCACGUCCCAUGUUGUUGCCUGCCCUUAGAGCCUACACAAUAUGACGUGUUCUGCCUCAGUACGUGCAUAAUUCUUCCUUACGCGUGAG